GUAGGUGGCAAGCGUUGUCCGGAAUUAUUGGGCGUAAAGCGCGCGCAGGCGGUUCUUUAAGUCUGAUGUGAAAGCCCACGGCUCAACCGUGGAGGGUCAUUGGAAACUGGAGAACUUGAGUACAGAAGAGGAAAGCGGCAUUCCACGUGUAGCGGUGAAAUGCGUAGAGAUGUGGAGGAACACCAGUGGCGAAGGCGGCUUUCUGGUCUGUAACUGACGCUGAGGCGCGAAAGCGUGGGGGAGCAAACAGGAUUAGAUACCCUGGUAGUCCACGCCGUAAACGAUGAGUGCUAAGUGUUAGGGGGUUUCCGCCCCUUAGUGCUGCAGCUAACGCAUUAAGCACUCCGCCUGGGAGUACGGCCGCAAGGCUG
rnacentral:rRNA from 1 species